AAGUCGUAACAAGGUUUCCGUAGGUGAACCUGCGGAAGGAUCAUUAACACGUAUCCAACGUUAAAACCCCCAGAACGCGGCAAUCCCUGGUAAAUCAUCGCCGAACAGUUUUGAUUCAGGGACCUCUGCAUGGUUUGGGCAGCUCCGCGAGGCAAGUGGCCUGGCAUUCGUAAGAAUGGCGCAGUCACGAUCGCUAGAGGCCGACACGGCCGGCGACCGGGUCACUGGGCUCUGCCCCCCUAUCACCUUUGCAUGAAACCGGGCCUGCGCUUAAUUGUGCGGCCACCAAACUUCGAACAACUGUUAACAAUGGAUAUCUUGGUUCUC
rnacentral:misc_RNA from 1 species